rnacentral:rRNA from 1 species
CCUACGGGAGGCAGCAGUGAGGAAUAUUGGUCAAUGGACGAGAGUCUGAACCAGCCAAGUAGCGUGAAGGAUGACUGCCCUAUGGGUUGUAAACUUCUUUUAUAUGGGAGUAAAAUGUUCCACGUGUGGGAUUUUGUAUGUACCAUAUGAAUAAGGAUCGGCUAACUCCGUGCCAGCAGCCGCGGUAAUACGGAGGAUCCGAGCGUUAUCCGGAUUUAUUGGGUUUAAAGGGAGCGUAGGUGGAUUGAUAAGUCAGUUGUGAAAGUUUGCGGCUCAACCGUAGAAUUGCAGUUGAAACUGGCAGUCUAGAGUACAGUAGAGGUAGGCGGAAUUCGUGGUGUAGCGGUGAAAUGCUUAGAUAUCACGAAGAACUCCGAUUGCGAAGGCAGCUCUCUGGACUGCAACUGACACUGAUGCUCGAAAGUGUGGGUAUCAAACAGGAUUAGAUACCCCUGUAGUA